rnacentral:rRNA from 1 species
AGAGUUUGAUCAUGGCUCAGAUUGAACGCUGGCGGCAUGCCUUACACAUGCAAGUCGAACGGCAGCACGGGAGCAAUCCUGGUGGCGAGUGGCGAACGGGUGAGUAAUACAUCGGAACGUGCCCUGUCGUGGGGGAUAACUAGUCGAAAGAUUAGCUAAUACCGCAUACGACCUGAGGGUGAAAGCGGGGGACCGUAAGGCCUCGCGCGAUAGGAGCGGCCGAUGUCUGAUUAGCUAGUUGGUGAGGUAAGAGCUCACCAAGGCGACGAUCAGUAGCUGGUCUGAGAGGACGAUCAGCCACACUGGGACUGAGACACGGCCCAGACUCCUACGGGAGGCAGCAGUGGGGAAUUUUGGACAAUGGGGGCAACCCUGAUCCAGCAAUGCCGCGUGUGUGAAGAAGGCCUUCGGGUUGUAAAGCACUUUUGUCCGGAAAGAAAUCCCCUGGGAUAAUACCUCGGGGGGAUGACGGUACCGGAAGAAUAAGCACCGGCUAACUACGUGCCAGCAGCCGCGGUAAUACGUAGGGUGCGAGCGUUAAUCGGAAUUACUGGGCGUAAAGCGUGCGCAGGCGGUUUUGUAAGACAGGCGUGAAAUCCCCGAGCUCAACUUGGGAAUGGCGCUUGUGACUGCAAGGCUAGAGUAUGUCAGAGGGGGGUAGAAUUCCACGUGUAGCAGUGAAAUGCGUAGAGAUGUGGAGGAAUACCGAUGGCGAAGGCAGCCCCCUGGGACGUCACUGACGCUCAUGCACGAAAGCGUGGGGAGCAAACAGGAUUAGAUACCCCGGUAGU